UCCUGGUAGUCUAGUGGUUAAAGACUUGGCAUUGUCACUGCUAUGGCUUGGGUUCAAUCCUUGACCCAGGAA
rnacentral:tRNA from 1 species